rnacentral:rRNA from 1 species
GGCUCAGGACGAACGCUGGCGGCGUGCCUAAUACAUGCAAGUCGAGCGAACCACUUCGGUGGUUAGCGGCGGACGGGUGAGUAACACGUGGGCAACCUGCCUGUAAGACUGGGAUAACUUCGGGAAACCGGAGCUAAUACCGGAUAAUCCUUUUCCUCUCAUGAGGAAAAGCUGAAAGACGGUUUCGGCUGUCACUUACAGAUGGGCCCGCGGCGCAUUAGCUAGUUGGUGAGGUAACGGCUCACCAAGGCGACGAUGCGUAGCCGACCUGAGAGGGUGAUCGGCCACACUGGGACUGAGACACGGCCCAGACUCCUACGGGAGGCAGCAGUAGGGAAUCUUCCACAAUGGACGAAAGUCUGAUGGAGCAACGCCGCGUGAGCGAUGAAGGCCUUCGGGUCGUAAAG